UGGGGAAUAUUGCGCAAUGGGGGAAACCCUGACGCAGCGACGCCGCGUGUGGGAUGAAGGUCUUCGGAUUGUAAACCACUGUCGCGAGGGACGAAGCUCUGACGGUACCUCGAAAGGAAGCACCGGCUAACUCUGUGCCAGCAGCCGCGGUAAUACAGAGGGUGCGAGCGUUGUCCGGAAUCACUGGGCGUAAAGGGCGCGUAGGCGGCCCGGUAAGUAGGGGGUGAAAUCUCAUGGCUCAACUGUGAGGCUGCCUUCUAGACUGCCAGGCUUGAGCACAGUAGAGGCGAGUGGAAUUCCUGGUGUAGCGGUGAAAUGCGUAGAUAUCAGGAGGAACACCCGUGGCGAAGGCGGAUCUCUGGACCGGUUCUGACGCUGAGGAGCGAAAGCUAGGGGAGCAAACAGGAUUAGAUACCCGUGUAGUCCCUGAGCGGGCUGGCAAGGCGCAU
rnacentral:rRNA from 1 species